CGCCUCAUGAAAAACCUAUAAGAGGUCCAGCCUGCCCAGUGACUCUGUUCAACGGCCGCGGUAUCCUAACCGUGCGAAGGUAGCGUAAUCACUUGUUCUUUAAAUAAGGACUAGUAUGAAUGGCACCACGAAGGUUAUACUGUCUCCUUUUUCCAAUCAGUGAAACUAAUCUUCCCGUGAAGAAGCGGGAAUAAUCUUAUAAGACGAGAAGACCCUAUGGAGCUUUAAAUUAUCAACAAUUAUCUUUUUUUAAUUUUACUAAAACAGAAUCAAUUCUGAUAAUAUGAUUGUUAAUUUUCGGUUGGGGUGACCGCGGAGUAAAAUUUAUCCUCCACGAUGAACAGGACAUGCUCCUAAACAAAGAAUUACAAUUCAAAGCAUCAAAAAAUUGACAUUAUUGACCCAAUACUUUGAUCAACGAACCAAGUUACCCUAGGGAUAACAGCGCAAUCUAUCUUAAGAGUUCAUAUCGACAGAUAGGCUUACGACCUCGAUGUUGGAUCAGGGUAUCCCAGUGGUGCAGCCGCUACUAAAGGUUCGUUUGUUCAACGAUUAAAACCCU
rnacentral:rRNA from 1 species